GCUGGGCUGUUUUCUGACCCCCGGCGGCGGCGCUCUGUGCGGCUGCGCGCGCACUGGGACUUCUGCUCCUGCGCCUCUGCAGGACGCUGUGAUCCCGGUAGACCCAACCCGACCGAGCGUCUUCCGCGCUGCGGGAAGCCGGAGCAGAGCCGGCACCUCGGGUAAAGUCAUUUCAGUUGCUUUUGCCAAGAGUCAGCUAUUUGACGCUGGUAACUGACAAAGUGAAAAAGCACUUUCAGAAGGUUAUGAGACAAGAAGAUGUUAGUGAGAUUUGGUUUGAAUAUGAAGGCACACCCCUGAAAUGAGUUUUCCAGAAAAGGACCUUCUGCACUGUCCGUGCAAGGAUGCAGUUGAGGCUCACUUUAUGUCAUGUGUGAAGGAAGCUGACGCUUUAAAGCACAAAAGUCAGGUGAUCAACGAAAUGCAGAGAAAAGACCACAAGCAGCUCUGGAUGGGACUGCAGAAUGACAGAUUUGACCAGUUUUGGACCAUCAACCGGAAACUCAUGGAAUACCCUCCAGAAGAAAAUGGAUUUCGUUAUAUCCCUUUUAGAAUAUAUCAG
rnacentral:lncRNA from 1 species